GAUGAACGCUAGCGGCAGGCCUAAUACAUGCAAGUCGAACGGUAAGGCCCUUUCGGGGGUACGACGAGUGGCGGACGGGUGCGUAACGCGUAUGCAACAUACCUUCAAGCGGGGAGUAUGCCAGGGAAACUUGGUGCAACACCCCAUAGCAUUUCGGGUACCGCAUGGUCUUGGGAUUAAAUAUUUAUAGCUUGGAGAUUGGCAUGCGUGACAUUAGCUAGUUGGCGGGGUAACGGCCCACCAAGGCGACGAUGUCUAGCUGGUCUGAGAGGAUGAUCAGCCACACUGGGACUGAGACACGGCCCAGACUCCUACGGGAGGCAGCAGUGGGGAAUCUUGCGCAAUGGGCGAAAGCCUGACGCAGCGACGCCGCGU
rnacentral:rRNA from 1 species